rnacentral:rRNA from 1 species
CCUACGGGAGGCAGCAGUGGGGAAUAUUGGGCAAUGGCCGCAAGCCUGACCCAGCAACGCCGCGUGAAGGAAGACGGCUUUCGGGUUGUAAACUUCUUUUCUCAGGGACGAAGCAAGUGACGGUACCUGCGGAAUAAGCCACGGCUAACUACGUGCCAGCAGCCGCGGUAAUACGUAGGUGGCAAGCGUUCUCCGGAUUUACUGGGUGUAAAGGGCGUGUAGGCGGGGACGCAAGUCAGAUGUGAAAACCAUGGGCUCAACCUGUGGCCUGCAUUUGAAACUGUGUUUCUUGAGUACUGGAGAGGCAGACGGAAGUCCUAGUGUAGCGGUGAAAUGCGUAGAUAUUAGGAGGAACACCAGUGGCGAAGGCGGUCUGCUGGACAGCAACUGACGCUGAGGCGCGAAAGCGUGGGGAGCAAACAGGAUUAGAUACCCUUGUAGUC